GGACAUUAGAACUAAAAAUAACGUCCACACUCUGACUGGCCACACCAACACAGUCACCACGGUGAAGUGUCAAAGUGUCGAGCCUCAAAUAAUCACAGGGAGCUAUAACACCACCAUCAGACUGUAGGAUCUGAUCACUGGGAAGAUGAGAGCCACGCUGACCAAUCACAAGAAGUCUGUGGGAGCACUGGUGCUGCAUCCGUGACACCGAUAAUGAUGGGACAGAAGGACGGGGUACAAUUUCCAGCAGAUCCACACGGCCGUGCAACCCAGCUCUCUGGACAGUGAGUCGGGGAUUUUCUCCUGCGUGUUUGAUCACUCCGGGAGUCGUUUGAUCACGGCUGAGGUGGACAAAACCAUCAAAAUGUACAAGGAAGACGACAUGGUGAUGCACUGUUUAAAAAAAAAGAGAGAAAAAAAGGCUUCUCCAACUUAAAAAUGUUUAGUGACCCAUUGCACCUAAAAUUUUUGGUUGGCUCAGUGGAAGUUGUG